rnacentral:lncRNA from 1 species
UGCAAAGCCCUACCUCCAUCGACAGUUCUGUGGACCCCGUCGCGUCCCCACUGGGAAGUGUCUCUUUCUCUGAACCGCGUUCCUGACAAGCAUGCAAAAAAAAAAGAAGGUCGUGGAUUAGCAAGGAGAUUUACGUACAGAUCCUGCGGGAGGGCAAUUUUAUGGAGAAGAAAAUGCAAGCGAUUGGGUUUUUGUGUUGUUAUGUAUAGCUUAAACGGAAAAGUCACUGGUUCUGUAUAACUGUAGAACACGGACGGCGACAGUGGCGUCCACAAGGUGUUUAGGUGUACUGCGCUGUGCAUCAGUUUCUAUGGAGGUUAUUGACAAAUGGUGCCAGCUUGAAAAGCAGGCACCGUGUAGAGCACCUAUUCAUAUCCCGCGUCGAAGACUUAAACAAUUUAAUGUGGCUUGUUUGGGAGACGAGCCACAAACUUUGCAGAGCGGAACCUUUGGUCAGAGUAGAUUUUGGCGCGUCGCACAAUUUCGUGCUGCAUUUGUAGACCUCCAAAUGCCCGUGCGAAUGACGGAUUCCAGCUUUCGGGGGCGGCCAGCCAGUGCGCGGUUGUCCAUAAUUCCGGUUUCCAGCUUCGUGUUAUACCUCAAAAGAAGUCGAGCUCUAAGAAUAAACAACUCCAUCUUUAGACUACUGCAAUGCUAUUCCCCUUCUCCGGUUUUCCUCUGUUGUCUCGCUAUACGGUUCAGCGUCUCCCGCUGCUCCGCACUAACAGUGUACCGGUGUUUCGCGGUACAGGUUGUAGGAAUCGUGCGUAGCGGCGGAUGUAAGGGGGGAACUGCCCAAGGAACGAAAUCAUAUUCAUUCCCAGUGUAUAGCAUAAAUUGAGGAAGGAAACGUGUCGUUCGUCGCCUCACUUUGCUCAGGCUUUUCCGUCGCGCUUGCCCUUCUAUGCUUGAACGACACUUCUCAGCACUACUUAGCGACAAACACCCAGUGCUGCGUUCCGUCUUUGCUUUCUGUUCCAUCUCAUCCGUCUUGCCCGUCAGCUGACAAGAUAUGAUUCUUUUUUAGGACCGACCGUUGCACUAAACGGAGGGAUCUCCGUUCAGUGUGGAUAGACCUGCCGUGCUGUGAUGUCAAACCGCAAACGUGUUUCACUCAAAACUGCAACUCAGCUGCUACGCGUCCUGUGCCCGGCAAUCAAAGAGCGCCCUCGUAUCAAACAUUCACCCAUGCCUCUGCUUGGCGUGGCUUCCAUUUGUGCUUGCCUUCGUGGUUCGCCGACCAGUCUUGGCCUGUGUGAUACUGGUAAGCCGUGCAAACCGUUGAUAAACUUCAAGCACUCUACAACUUCGACG